rnacentral:rRNA from 1 species
GACGAACGCAGGCGGCGUGCUUAACACAUGCAAGUCGAACGGAAAGGCCUGCUUUCCCUUGUGGAUUGCGGGUACUCGAGUGGCGAACGGGUGAGUAACACGUGAGUAAUCUGCCCCCAACUUGGGUAUAAGCCUGGGAAACUGGGUCUAAUUCCCGAUAGGACUGCAGGGUGGUGCCUGUGGUGGAAAACGAUUUUCUAGUGGUUGGGGAUGAGCUCGCGGCCUAUCAGCUUGUUGGUGGGGUAAUGGCCUACCAAGGCGGCGACGGGUAGCCGGCCUGAGAGGGUGGACGGCCACAUUGGGACUGAGAUACGGCCCAGACUCCUACGGGAGGCAGCAGUGGGGAAUAUUGCACAAUGGGCGGAAGCCUGAUGCAGCGACGCCGCGUGGGGGAUGACGGCCUUCGGGUUGUAAACUCCUUUCGACCGCGAGGAAGCCACCUGGUUGGAAGGGUGGUGACGGUAGUGGUAGAAGAAGCACCGGCUAACUACGUG